GCAAAAUAACAGGAACAUCAACAGCAGUCUAAUUGUUACAAGCCUUUCAAUGCGUCACAAAAUUGGUGCAGUCUUCCCCUUCGUCCCCUUUCUAGCACAACAGCUAAGUGUUGCUCAUUGCCAUGAAUGAACCCUCCGCUAUGGAAGCUAAGUUGCAUAUCCUCAGACCUUGCAGUUGACAAACCUUGUCGAAAACCCAGAACGGUUCUACCUUAGUUGUCGGAGACCUCUACCAUG
rnacentral:lncRNA from 1 species